UACGUAGGGGGCUAGCGUUGUCCGGAAUCAUUGGGCGUAAAGAGCGUGUAGGCGGCCCGGUAAGUCCGCUGUAAAAGUCAAAGGCUCAACCUUUGAAUGUCAGUGGAUACUGCCGGGCUAGAGUCCGGAAGAGGCGAGUGGAACUCCUGGUGUAGCGGUGGAAUGCGCAGAUAUCAGGAAGAACACCCGUGGCGAAGGCGGCUCUCUGGGACGGUACUGACGCUGAGACGCGAAAGCGUGGGGAGCAAACAGG
rnacentral:rRNA from 1 species